GUUAUACUUGAAUUGAAAAUAUAAUUUACACAAAGGAUUUUUACUAUAUAUGUUUAAAUGAAUGCAUUCAGAAAGAGGCCCUUCUUAAUACACAUGGGAGUCUGACCUGGAAUGCUGGGUCAAAGGUUAUAAUAACAGCGGGCCUCCAUCAAUCUAUCUGAACAAGAAUCAUAUCUUUUGACCAUUGACAAUUCCUCUGCUUUCUUUCCCAUGCUGUAAUAGGUUUGUUGAAGUUUUUGCAAGUUCCUAGUAUACUCUUGGGUGUACAGUUGUUGGAGAUCAGCCUGCAUGUUAGCUAUUUGUUUAGAUGUAGAUUUGGAGGGGAGGUCUUAUUUGUUUGUUCUAGUGAAGCAAGGUGUUGGAGUAACGUGUUUCUUUUGUCGUGGAAUUUCUUUAUAAUGGUCGAACCUAUUUUAAUGAGUUCCCCUCUGAUCACUGCUUUGUGGGCUAACCAUUGGGUUUCUGAUGUUGUGUCCUUUGUUGA